GUGAAGAGGAAAAAUACAAGCGAAAUGGGCUUAGCGCGAGAGGCUACUUCUGGGCUGACUCGGAUUAACGGGCUGGGCUUUUAAUGAAUAUCUGCAUUUGGAGUUGGGCCGACACAAUCCAAACCCAAUUUGCGAUACCAACAUGAAUUCCCACAAACUUGAGUUCCUUUUGUCUGAAGGAGCGAACCACAAUGCAAUCUCUACAGUUUGAUCUCAUAAGAACUCUUAUAUGAUCAUCAUUUGCUAUCAAAUAAAGUGCAACAUUAGAAGAAUUUCUUAGUGGAGAUGUCAUCAAUUGAGAAAUCUAUUCAGAAUAUAAGUAAUGCUAUGUAAAAUAGUUUUCCUUGCCCAAAGAGAUUGCCAGAAAAGCCUAGUUGCCAACGGUGAUGAAGUCCAAAAUAUUGGGGCUCAUGGCUGUAGUCAAGCUCAAGAGGAGAAGCCGAACAAGCAAAUAUUAAGGGGGCAUUUAAUUUUCUUCUCUUUCCUCUCUUAGUGUAAGAAAAAAAGAACUGAACGUCUCUUAUAUUUGCUUCUCUUACCUCUCCCUCCUUUAUAUAUGAUUCUUUUUGAGCAUUGAACUCGAAUAUGCUUCUUCA